UGUUAUGUUUACGUACACAGUUGACUCGCCCAUCUCCAGUGAUCAUGUAUACCUUCAGUUUUCCGUG
rnacentral:ribozyme from 1 species